CUCAUCCAGCUCGCUACCACAUCAACAGAACCAGAAUAUGAUUUAGUUCAGCUUCAGAUGACAGUACAGCAAAGUAUAACUGUCAUUUCACAUUUCUCUUCCUUCUGUGCUCUUAACUGCUGUGCACCUGGGUUGCUAAAGGACUGCCUAUCAUGAGCUGAGCCCUCCCAGCUGUGGACCCUGGGGGGUGGGAAAUCUUGAAACUUGCCUGACUCAAGGGCUCUCAGCCGUUGCUUUGUCACCAACAGCCUGUUUUAACCUGCUCCUAUUGGACCUUUAUCACUUUCCUGACCCCACAAAACAAACCGGGCUGGCAAAUGCAGUGAACAGCCUCCUUGAAAAUGCAGCUUGACUGUGAUUCAUGGCCAAAAGCUGGAAUAACCCUGCCAGGUCUGAGAAGCUUUACGAUUAAUUGCAUUGAACUUGAUACAUAGAGAACAGCACCUUGAAAAUGAAUCAUCUGCUACUUCAGUAUUUUCUAAUCACAAUCACUCCCUCUCAGGGCAUGUAAUUAAUUUACAGAGUUAAAAAAAAAAAAAAAAAGUCAGGAUUACUCACACAGUCUUGAAGAUGCAAUGUCAGCUAUUUAGGACAGAAACAUCCAAGGCCGUGUUAGAACUCAAUUACGACUACAUAUGCGUUAAAACAGGAACUGACAGGCCUCUGGACUACAGCAACUAUAGGACUCGUGCUUCUCGUACGCUGAGCUAUAAUUUAUGAAACUGAGCCCCAGAUCCAGCCAAUCACUUAGCUCCUCAUAACAAGUCUAACUGGCUCUGGAAAGCUGAAAGGGCUGCACUAGAACAACAAAGAUGAGAUAUUCUACACAACAAUCAGCUUAUCUGGAAUCCCUUUCCCUUGCAAGGCCAGAGAAAAAUCGCAGUUUCAUUGUCUGAAGGAAGAGGACUCAGGAAAAUGCAACUUCACCUGAAGCAAGAUCUUUUAUGGCUUGGCAAUCCCAACCUUGCCGGCGUGAAAGGACCGACCUACCUCUGGAACCCGGAGGGCAAAUGUGGCAGCAAAAUCCCAAAGUGUUGCUGCCUAUGGUGACUGUGCUAGAACUGAAACUUCUCAGGAAGCCAGGCUGUUAAAAUUGUGAUGCCCUGUACUCAACAAUACCAUGGAUUAUUUAGUCCAAAGUGGAAAGCAAGCCCUUACGGUAAUGUCAUUGCAUCCUCAACACCCAGAACGCCCUGUUUCUCUUUCCCUGAAUAAAACUACAUUCAAAUCCCAUUGAA